rnacentral:rRNA from 1 species
AGAGUUUGAUCCUGGCUCAGAACGAACGCUGGCGGCGUGCUUAAUACAUGCAAGUCGAACGUGAUUCCCGACUUCGGUUGGGAUGAAAGUGGCGAACGGGUGAGUAACACGUAAGUAAUCUGCCUUCAAGUUUGGGAUAACCCUGCCAACGCGGGGCUAAUACCGGAUGUGGUCCAGCAGACCCAUGUUUGCGGGAUUAAAGGUCGCGAGACCGCUUGGAGAUGAGCUUGCGGCCCAUUAGCUAGUUGGUGAGGUAACGGCCCACCAAGGCAGGGAUGGGUAGCCGGCCUGAGAGGGUGUACGGCCACAUUGGGACUGAGAUACGGCCCAGACUCCUACGGGAGGCAGCAGUAGGGAAUUUUGCGCAAUGGACGGAAGUCUGACGCAGCAACGCCGCGUGAAGGAUGAAGGCCUUCGGGUUGUAAACUUCUGUUGGAUGGGAAAAAAAGCCUUUUAAGAGGAAUUGAUGGUACCAUUCGAGUAAGCACCGGCUAACUACGUGCCAGCAGCCGCGGUAAUACGUAGGGUGCGAGCGUUGUUCGGAAUCACUGGGCGUAAAGGGAGCGUAGGCGGAACUGUAAGUUAGAAGUUUAAUACAUGGGCUCAACCCGUGGUCUGCUUUUAAUACUGCGGUUCUUGAGUAUGGGAGAGGGCGAUGGAAUUCCAGGUGUAGCGGUGGAAUGCGUAGAUAUCUGGAAGAACACCAGUAGCGAAGGCGGUCGCCUGGCCCAAUACUGACGCUGAGGCUCGAAAGCUGGGGGAGCAAACAGGAUUAGAUACCCUGGUAGUCCCAGCCGUAAACG